UGGAACUUCGGAAUUUAAAGUAACAAAUCUAAUGUAAUUUAUCAAUUUAAAUGAUUUUACUGUUCGGUUGUAGUUGUUAUAGUAACGUUGCUUCUUUUUUCUUUAAAAAUAAGAAAGCUCUGAUAACUAUAGUUACCAGCACACAAGGUUUUAAAGAAAAAAUCGCAUUAUCUUUUUUUAUCCAUUGUUUUUUUUAUAGUUGCCAUAGUAACCGUAUGUUUCUUUUAUUUUAGAUAAAAUAAGAAGGCUGGUGAUGGAAACAUAACCACAGUAACCAGCUCACAAGAUCUUCAGUUGAGUAUCAAACGCUGUGCAGAGCGGUCGAAGCAACACGGCUCCUCACAAGACUGGAGACAGUCUUCACUCCUCAUCUCUAGAUUAAGAAGAACAAGUGGGUAGUGGUGUCAGCUCCUCCUGACGUUACAAGAUUGUGCGACAGUCAUCACUACUUAUCUAGCUCUUGGUGAUGAAGGAUAAGAGAUAGUAUAAGGAGGCUGGUGAUGAAAACAUAAGAACCAUAGUAAACAACACACAAGACCUUCAAUUUUGUUUAGUCUCUCAGUUGAGUUUCAAACGUUGUGCAGAGCAGUCGAAGCAACUUCUCUCCUCACAAGUCUGGGAGACACUCAUCACUGCUUAUCUCUUGAUUAAGAACGACAAGUGGUUAGUGAAAUUAACUUCUGGCUUUACAAGAUUGUGCGAUAUAGUCAUCAUUAUCUCUUGAUGGCAAAGGAUAAGAGCUCCUGAUCUGACAAGAUAGUGCCACACAGUCAUCACUACUUAUCUCUUGGUUAAGGACAAGUGGUUAGUGGAAUCAACUCCUGGCAUUAAAAGAUUGUGCUUUAGUCAUCAUUACUUAUCCCUUGGUGUUGAAUAAUCAGAGCUCCUGAUCUGACAAGAUAGUGCCACACAGUCAUCACUACUUAUCUCUUGGUUAAGGACAAGUGGUUAGUGGAAUCAACUCCUGGCAUUAAAAGAUUGUGCUUUAGUCAUCAUUACUUAUCCCUUGGUGUUGAAUAAUCAGAGCUCCUGAUCUUACAAGAUAGUGUCACACAAUCAUCACAAUUUAUAUCUUGGUUAAGGAUAAGUGGACAAUGGAAUCAGCUCAUGGUAUUAGAAGAAUUAUAACCACUAACAUUAUCACCGCUUGGCUAUUGGUGGUGAAGGAUUAAGAGCUCCUGAUCUUACAAGAUAGUGCCACACAGUCAUCACUACUUAUCUCUUGGUUAAGGAUAAGUGGUUAGUAGAAUCAGUUCCUGGCAUUACAAGAUUGCUCAACAGUCAUCACUACUUAGCUCUUGGUCGUGAAGGAUAAGAGGUUAGUUGGAUCACAUCUCUUCACUACAAAUGAAACCAAGCUACCAAGUGACCCUUAAUGGAAGACUAUCCUGCUAUCAUAGUCAAGAAAUUCAACGAAUAAAACCAUAUGGCAAAACGUAAUAAAAUGAUUCCGGACAGCCAAUAUAUAAUACUAAAAAGCAAUAGUCAUGUACAAAUUUAAUGUUCUUGUGGUUUUAUCACUUAUAUCCAAAUCAUUUUGUCUCAACUCAGUAGAUUUUUUAAAAUUUUUACAUUUCAUAAUACAAUUUUUCAUCUAAAUCCUAUGUUUAGAGAGUUGGCAAUAUAUGAUAACUUUUA